rnacentral:rRNA from 1 species
GAUGAACGCUGGCGGCGUGCCUAAUACAUGCAAGUCGAGCGAACAGACGAGGAGCUUGCUCCUCUGACGUUAGCGGCUGACGGGUGAGUAACACGUGGAUAACCUACCUAUAAGACUGGGAUAACUUCGGGAAACCGGAGCUAAUACCGGAUAACAUGUUGAACCGCAUGGUUCAACAGUGAAAGACGGUCUUGCUGUCACUUAUAGAUGGAUCCGCGCCGCAUUAGCUAGUUGGUAAGGUAACGGCUUACCAAGGCAACGAUGCGUAGCCGACCUGAGAGGGUGAUCGGCCACACUGGAACUGAGACACGGUCCAGACUCCUACGGGAGGCAGCAGUAGGGAAUCUUCCGCAAUGGGCGAAAGCCUGACGGAGCAACGCCGCGUGAGUGAAGAAGGUCUUCGGAUCGUAAAACUCUGUUAUUAGGGAAGAACAAAUGUGUAAGUAACUAUGCACGUCUUGACGGUACCUAAUCAGAAAGCCACGGCUAACUACGUG